GAUGAAGAACGUAGCGAAAUGCGAUAAGUAAUGUGAAUUGCAGAAUUCAGUGAAUCAUCGAAUCUUUGAACGCACAUUGCGCCCGCCAGUAUUCUGGCGGGCAUGCCUGUUCGAGCGUCAUUUCAACCAUCAAGCCCCCGGCUUGUGUUGGGGACCUGCGGCUGCCGCAGGCCCUGAAAACCAGUGGCGGGCUCGCUAGUCACUCCGAGCGUAGUAGUUACAUCUCGCUCAGGGCGUGCUGCGGGUUCCGGCCGUUAAAAGCCUUAUUUACCCAAGGUUGACCUCGGAUCAGGUAGGAAGACCCGCUGACCUUAAGCAUAUCAAUAAGCGGAGGA
rnacentral:misc_RNA from 1 species